UUCAAGAUGAGUCAUUGGGGGGGUUGUAAAAUUGUGUAAUUUUCUUUUAUCAGCUUUUAUAUUCCAGCCAAGUGAGACAGCUGUCAUGAUUCCAGAAGCUACAUCUUCAGUUCGCAAGCCAAGAUAUGUUAGGAGGGAGAGGCCAUCAGCAACGUCAGCAUCAUCAGCAUCCAGCAGUGCUACUGUGGCAACAGGGGCAGUAACCAAGGUAUACAAUGUGUGACCAGCCUUCAAGGGCCAGCUAUGAGCACCCUUUUAAAACAUGGGUCUGUCCUAAAGCACUGUUUUCUUAUAGGAUUUACUUUUUUGGUGAAACUUUCCUUUGUAGGCUACAUGAAGAAGUGACAUGUCUUGAUGUAGGAUUUAUCUUUUUUAAUUCUCUUUUCUUUUCACUGGAGCAAGUUAUUUAUUUCUAUUUAUAUAUUUUUCACACAAUACAUUGUUCCUUUUUUUUAAGAGACCAAGUGUUGCACUACUAGAGUAUUUUUGAUUGUUAAGCUAUAAUGAAGUCUAGUAAGUUGUUUUUGAAAGAAUUGUGUAAUGUUUAUAUUUAUUACCAGUAUUUUUGUGUGAUAUUGUACUUUUGAGUCUUGUGACAUUGUAACUAGGAUUCAAAACAAGACUUCCGGAGUUAGUCAUAUUUGCACACUACCAACUCCUCAAACCUCAUCAAGUAAAAAAAAAAAAAAAAGACAUUAGCAUAUUUACCAUUCGGUUGAAAUCAUUAUUUUGUUCCUGUAUACACAAAUAAUAUAUUUUCUAUUAAUCCUGUACCAUCUCCACAAAUUCUGUUAGCACUUAUUAAUGCCAUAUACAUAUGCUGGAAAAUACCCUGUAUGAGUAUUGAAAAUACUCCUGGCUUGGGUUUCAAUGUUAACAGCAUAUUCAUGUUCUACUGAUAAGUGUGCAUGAAAUGUCCACCUGUUAACAAUGGCACAUUCUUCACUAUAUUCAACAUAAAGGGUUCUGGCUUGCACCAAAGUUUUUUCCCAGGUAAAUAAUGAUAAAUUCAAAUUUGCUAGGCCUUAAAGUUGCAAACUUGCUGUUAAUACACAAUAUAUAAGCAAAGUUGUGAAAAACUGUUGCCAAAAACAGAGCUAUUUAUCCCAUCUUGUAUAAGACAAAGUGCCAUUAAGUGAUUGUGCUAACGAAUGAAGACCUAUAGUCACCAUUUUUGAUUUUGUACAUUUUAUACAAAAUUAGAAUGUAAAAUUAUGAAAGAACUUUAGUAAAUUUAUCUUGUUUCUUGGUUGGAAAAAACAACAACAAACAAAAUGCUUGAUAUCACUGUAGUGUUAUAAAGCGAGUAAUACACUGGUAUUUCUAUAAAAGGACCGGAGAUGUCAGUUACCUUUGUUUUACUUUAUUUUGUAGAUGUUUAUUGCAAAUAGUGGCCUUUAAAAUGCCGUAUCAUCCCCUAUGCCUAUAUAUAUUUAUGGUUUUCGGUGUAGUUUUUAGGUUUUCUCAUUUGUAAUAAUGGUUCUGUUUAUUUAAAGGAUUAUUACGGUUUUUCUACACCUUUUCUAUUUCAUUUUAGGAAGGGUAUUUAUUUGAACAUUGUUUUGUAGAGUGUAAUAUCUUUAGUAUGCUGGAUUAAUCAAAAGCAAGGAUUGUUUACUUAAGGUGGAGGUAAAGGAUGUGGUUUCUUGGGGAUACAUCUGUGAUACUGAUUUAAAUUCAACUUAUUUCUCAUGUCAUUUUAUUGGCUGUUGUGCAGCAACUGGAAAGCAUGUCAGUAGAUUUUGUAUAUGAAUUAUGUUUAGAUGGAUGUUGAUUAUGAACUUUUUUGUAUGUUGAUGUCCUGACAGAGUGAGUAUUAAUCACAUAUUGAAUC